rnacentral:rRNA from 1 species
AUGAGACACUUUGUACGCGACAAGACAUUUGCUAUGCUCUCCAAGAACUAUUUUUGGCCCAAGAUGUUCCGCGACGUCAACCGCUUCACCAACCGAUGCUCUACAUGUUGCAAAGCUAAGUCUAAAGCUCAAUCCCAUGGUCUCUAUAUGCCCCUUCCAAUUCCGUAUGAACCAUGGGAAGAUAUUAGCAUGGAUUUUGUGCUUGGUUUGCCUAGAACUAGAAAUGGAAAGGAUUCUGUGUUUGUUGUUGUGGACCGGUUCUCUAAGAUUUCUCAUUUCAUUCCUUGCAACAAGAAAGAUGAUGCUUCACAUGUUGCCAAUCUUUUUUGUAGGGAAAUAUUGCAACUACAUGGAGUACCAAAGACGACUGUCUCGGGCCGCGACGUCAAGUUCCUAAGCUACUUUUGGAAAACCUUAUGCGCCAAGCUCGGAAUCAAGCUACUUUUCUUCACGGCAUACCAUGCACAAACCGACGGCCAAAUAAAGGUAGAUCUAGCUUUCCAUCCACUUUUCCCCAAUUUCCAUCCACAAAUUUCUCCGAAUUUUGCCCGGAUUUGA